rnacentral:rRNA from 1 species
CCUACGGGUGGCUGCAGUAGGGAAUUUUCGGCAAUGGGGGGAACCCUGACCGAGCAACGCCGCGUGAACGAAGAAGUUAUUCGUAAUGUAAAGUUCUUUCAACAGGGAAGAAAGAGAAAUUUGACGGUACCUGAAGAAUAAGCUCCGGCUAACUACGUGCCAGCAGCAGCGGAAAUACGCGGGGAGAGGGCGUUAUCCGGAUUUAUUAGGCGUAAAGGGUGGGUAGAUGGCAUAGUAGGUCUUUGGUAAAAAUGCUGGGCUAAACCCAGUAGGGCAAAAGAUACUGUAAAGCUAGAGUAUGACAGAGGCAAGUGGAACUACAUGUGUAGCGGUAAAAUGCGUAAAUAUAUGGAGGAACACCAGUGGCGAAGGCGGCUUGCUGGGUCGAUACUGACAUUGAGGCACGAAAGCGUGGGGAGCAAACAGGAUUAGAUACCCCUGUAGUC